rnacentral:rRNA from 1 species
UACGUAGGUGGCAAGCGUUGUCCGGAAUUAUUGGGCGUAAAGCGCGCGCAGGCGGUCCUUUAAGUCUGAUGUGAAAGCCCACGGCUCAACCGUGGAGGGUCAUUGGAAACUGGGGGACUUGAGUACAGAAGAGAAGAGUGGAAUUCCACGUGUAGCGGUGAUAUGCGUAGAGAUGUGGAGGAACACCAGUGGCGAAGGCGACUCUUUGGUCUGUAACUGACGCUGAGGCGCGAAAGCGUGGGGAGCAAACAGG